CCUACGGGUGGCUGCAGUGGGGAAUAUUGGACAAUGGGCGAAAGCCUGAUCCAGCAAUGCCGCGUGAGUGAUGAAGGCCUUAGGGUUGUAAAGCUCUUUUACCAGGGAUGAUAAUGACAGUACCUGGAGAAUAAGCUCCGGCUAACUCCGUGCCAGCAGCCGCGGUAAUACGGAGGGAGCUAGCGUUGUUCGGAAUUACUGGGCGUAAAGCGCACGUAGGCGGCGAUUCAAGUCAGAGGUGAAAGCCCGGGGCUCAACCCCGGAACUGCCUUUGA
rnacentral:rRNA from 1 species